GAUGAACGCUGGCGGCGUGCCUAACACAUGCAAGUCGAACGGAAAGGCCCAAGCUUGCUUGGGUACUCGAGUGGCGAACGGGUGAGUAACACGUGGGUGAUCUGUCCCGCACUUCCGGAUAAGCCUGGGGAACUGGGUCUAAUACCGGAGAGGAUCACUUCUUGGAUGUUGUUGUGGAAUGUUUGUUCGGUUUGGGGUGAGUUAGCGGCCUAUCAGCUUGUUGGUGGGGUAAUGGCCUACCAAGGCGUCGACGGGUAGCCGGCCUGGGAGGGUGUACGGCCACAUUGAGACUGAGAUGAGGCACCGACACCUACGGGAGGCAGAAGUGGGGAAGAUUGCACGAUGGGCGCAAGCCUGAUGCAGCGACGCCGCGUGUGGGAUGACGGUCUUCGGGUUGUAAACUCAUUUCGCUAGGGACGAUGCGUUUUGUGACGGUACCUGGAGAAGAAGCCCCGGCUAACUACGUG
rnacentral:rRNA from 1 species